rnacentral:lncRNA from 1 species
AUGUGUGCAAAAAUGGUUGUUUCAACAGGUUUUAAGCUGAAACCAUUCAUUACACCACCUGUAGACCAUUUGCAAGACCAGUGGGGAACAUCAGGGACUCCCAUCUGGGACAUAUGGGCCACACUUGGAGAAACCCGGAGUUACUUGGAAUGCAUCCUUCCCUAUGGCAUCCUCAAGCCAAGCCACGGAGAAGGUGUUCUCCAGCUCACGGAAGUCCUGAGAUGCCUGAAUUCUACCCAGGGGGAUGAACAAUUUUUCCAUCUCUCCAAAGCCAACCAGGUUGAUUUCAGAGGACUGUGUCAGGUGAGAGCUGUGUCUGUAUCCAGCAUCACUGUAUAAUUUAAGGUUGAAAUGGAAGAUGCAAUUAAAAGUUUGGUUUGGACCAGUCAGCUACAAUUCAACAUAUUAUAAUUCAGUAUGAACUCUACCAGGUACUUCAGACACUUAAAACCAAGAGGUGAGCAGGAGAAAUAGCUUGCCUGCUACCAGAUGAUGUUGGCACCAC